rnacentral:lncRNA from 1 species
UCCAUUCUGUUCAAUUCCUUUCCGUUCAAUUCCUUUCCAUUCCAUUCCAUUCCAUUCCAUUCCAUUCCAUUCCAUUCCAUUCCAUUCCAUUCCGGUUGAUUCCAUUCCAUUCCAUUCCAUUACAUUCCAUUCCGUUCCUUUCCAUUCCAUUUCACUCGGGUUAAUUCCAUUCCAUUCCAUUCAAUUCCAUUCCACUCGGGUUGAUUCCAUUCCAUUCCAUUCCAUUCAAUUCCAUUCCACUCGGG